AUCCAACUGAAGAGUCUAAAAUAAGACGAGACGCGUAUCCUGGAU
rnacentral:hammerhead_ribozyme from 1 species